rnacentral:lncRNA from 1 species
AUGCCCAAGAGGAAGGUCAGCUCCGCUGAAGCCGCUGCCAAGGAAGAGCCCAAGAGGAGAUCGGCGCGGUUGUCAGCUAAACCUCCUGCAAAAGUGGAAGCAAAGCCGAAAAAGGCAGCAGCGAAGGAUAAAUCUUCAGACAAAAACGUGCAAACAAAAGGGAAAAGGGGAGCAAAGGGAAAACAGGCCGAAGUGGCUAACCAAGAAACUAAAGAAGAUUUACCUGCAGAAAAUGGGGAAACGAAAACUGAGGAGAGUCCAGCCUCUGAUGAAGCAGGAGAGAAAGAAGCCAAGUCUGAUUAA